AGCGAACGCUGGCGGCAGGCCUAACACAUGCAAGUCGAACGAACCUUUCGGGGUUAGUGGCGGACGGGUGAGUAACACGUGGGAACGUGCCUUUAGGUUCGGAAUAACUCAGGGAAACUUGUGCUAAUACCGAAUGUGCCCUUCGGGGGAAAGAUUAAUCGCCUUUAGAGCGGCCCGCGUCUGAUUAGCUAGUUGGUUGAGGUAGUGGCUCACCAAGGCGACGAUCAGUAGCUGGUCUGAGAGGAUGAUCAGCCACAUUGGGACUGAGACACGGCCCAAACUCCUACGGGAGGCAGCAGUGGGGAAUCUUGCGCAAUGGGCGAAAGCCUGACGCAGCCAUGCCGCGUGAAUGAUGAAGGUCUUAGGAUUGUAAAAUUCUUUCACCGGGGACGAUAAUGACGGUACCCGGAGAAGAAGCCCCGGCUAACUUCGUG
rnacentral:rRNA from 1 species